rnacentral:rRNA from 1 species
GUGGGGAAUAUUGGACAAUGGGCGCAAGCCUGAUCCAGCAAUGCCGCGUGUGUGAAGAAGGCCUUCGGGUUGUAAAGCACUUUUGUUCGGGAAGAAAUCCGUGAGGUUAAUACCCUUACGGGAUGACGGUACCGAAAGAAUAAGCACCGGCUAACUUCGUGCCAGCAGCCGCGGUAAUACGAAGGGUGCAAGCGUUAAUCGGAAUUACUGGGCGUAAAGCGUGCGUAGGCGGUUUGUUAAGUCAGAUGUGAAAGCCCCGGGCUCAACCUGGGAACUGCAUUUGAUACUGGCAGGCUAGAGUGCGGUAGAGGGUGGUGGAAUUCCCGGUGUAGCGGUGAAAUGCGUAGAGAUCGGGAGGAACAUCCGUGGCGAAGGCGGCCACCUGGACCAGCACUGACGCUGAGGCACGAAAGCGUGGGGAGCAAACAGGAUUAGAUACCCGAGUAGUCC